rnacentral:rRNA from 1 species
UACGUAGGGUGCAAGCGUUGUCCGGAAUCAUUGGGUUUAAAGGGUCCGUAGGCGGUUUUGUAAGUCAGUGGUGAAAGCCCAUCGCUCAACGGUGGAACGGCCAUUGAUACUGCAAGACUUGAAUUAUUGGGAAGUAACUAGAAUAUGUAGUGUAGCGGUGAAAUGCUUAGAGAUUACAUGGAAUACCAAUUGCGAAGGCAGGUUACUACCAAUAUAUUGACGCUGAUGGACGAAAGCGUGGGGAGCGAACAGG